ACAUGGCAUUAGCUUAAGCCAUUACUUGCCACGUGGCAUUUGCUUAGACCACUUUUUUUUGCUUUUUCCGCCAAAACCAUCCUCCUUAGCUUCUUUAAUACGCUUCACUUCACUCCAAAACCCUAAUACCCAUCUCCUGCAUCUGGUUCUUCCUUCUUCAUCGAUUGAUCUUCGAAAAACAUAGAUUUCUUCAUCUUCAAUCGCGAGUGGAAGCAACCAGUCCUUAUUAUGCGACGUAUAAGGUUUUCCGAUUAAAUUCACGUAUUGAAGUAGAUUUUGAGCAAUUAUCAGAGGUGACGUUGUUUGCUGACACUAUUACAGUUCAACAAUUGGGAGUGAUGAUUUAG